rnacentral:rRNA from 1 species
GACGAACGCUGGCGGCGUGCCUAAUACAUGCAAGUAGAACGCUGAAGGAGGAGCUUGCUUCUCUGGAUGAGUUGCGAACGGGUGAGUAACGCGUAGGUAACCUGCCUGGUAGCGGGGGAUAACUAUUGGAAACGAUAGCUAAUACCGCAUAAGAGUAGAUGCUGCAUGACAUUUGCUCAAAAGGUGCACUUGCAUCACUACCAGAUGGACCAGCGUUGUAUUAGCCAGAUGGUGUGGUAACGGCUCACCAAGGCGACGUUACAUAGCCGACCGGCGAGGGUGAUCGGCAACGCUGGGAUGAGAGCACGGCCCAGCACCCUGCGAGAGGCAGAAGUAGGGGAUCUUCGGGAAAGGCAGCAAGGCUGACCGAGCGACGACGCGUGAAUGACUAAGGUUGUCGGGUCGUAAAGCUCAGUUGUAAGUGAGGAACGAAAAUGACAGUGGAAAGUGCACACUGUGACAGUAUCGUAACAAAAAGCUACGGCUAACUACGUG